AUUGAACGCUGGCGGCAUGCCUUACACAUGCAAGUCGAACGGCAGCACGGGAGCAAUCCUGGUGGCGAGUGGCGAACGGGUGAGUAAUAUAUCGGAACGUGCCCAGUCGUGGGGGAUAACGCAGCGAAAGCUGUGCUAAUACCGCAUACGAUCUAUGGAUGAAAGCGGGGGACUCGCAAGGGCCUCGCGCGAUUGGAGCGGCCGAUAUCAGAUUAGCUAGUUGGUGGGUAAAGCCCACCAAGGCGACGAUCUGUAGCUGGUCUGAGAGGACGACCAGCCACACUGGAACUGAGACACGGUCCAGACUCCUACGGGAGGCAGCAGUGGGGAAUUUUGGACAAUGGGCGCAAGCCUGAUCCAGCAAUGCCGCGUGCAGGAUGAAGGC
rnacentral:rRNA from 1 species